rnacentral:rRNA from 1 species
CCUACGGGAGGCAGCAGUAGGGGAUUUUCGUCAAUGGGCGCAAGCCUGAACGAGCAAUGCCGCGUGAACGAGGAAGGUCUUCGGAUCGUAAAGUUCUGUUGAAGGGGAAAAAGAGCGGAGAGAGGAAAUGAACUCCGAUUGAUAUUACCCUUCGAGGAAGUCACGGCUAACUACGUGCCAGCAGCCGCAGUAAUACGUAGGUGGCGAGCGUUAUCUGGAAUGAUUGGGCGUAAAGGGUGCGUAGGCGGCCUGCUAAGUCUGGAGUGAAAGGUACCGGCUCAACCGGUAUAGGCUCUGGAAACUGGCGGGCUAGAGGGCAGGAGAGGGCGGUGGAACUCCAUGUGUAGCGGUAAAAUGCGUAGAGAUAUGGAAGAACACCAGUGGCGAAGGCGGCCGCCUGGCCUGUUACUGACGCUGAGGCACGAAAGCGUGGGGAGCAAAUAGGAUUAGAUACCCGUGUAGUC